CCCACCAAGGCGAUUACAGGUACGGGCUCUGAGAGGAGAAGCCCGGAGAUGGGUACUGAGACAAGGACCCAGGCCCUAUGGGGCGCAGCAGGCGAGAAAACUUUGCAAUGUGCGAAAGCACGACAAGGUUAAUCCGAGUGAUUUCUGCUAAAGGAAUCUUUUGUUAGUUCUAAAUAUACUAGUGAAUAAGGGGUGGGCAAGUUCUGGUGUCAGCCGCCGCGGUAAAACCAGCACCUCAAGUGGUCAGGAGGAUUAUUGGGCCUAAAGCAUCCGUAGCCUGUUCUAUAAGUUUGCGGUUAAAUCUAUGCGCUCAACGUAUAGGCUGCCGUAAAUACUGUAGAACUAGGGAGUGGGAGAGGUAGACGGUACUCGAUAGGAAGGGGUAAAAUCCUUUGAUCUAUUGAUGACCACCUGUGGCGAAGGCGGUCUACCAGAACACGUUCGACGGUGAGGGAUGAAAGCUGGGGGAGCAAACCGGAUUAGAUACCCGGGUAGUCCCAGCUGUAAACGAUGCAGACUCGAUGAUGCAAUGGCAUAGAGCUAUUGCAGUAUCGCAGGGAAGCCGUUAAGUCUGCCGCCUGGGAAGUACGUACGCAAGUAUGAAACUUAAAGGAAUUGGCGGGGGAGCACCACAAGGGGUGAAGCCUGCGGUUCAAUUGGAGUCAACGCCGGG
rnacentral:rRNA from 2 species